UACAGAGGGUGCAAGCGUUAAUCGGAAUUACUGGGCGUAAAGCGCACGUAGGCGGUUUUUUAAGUCAGAUGUGAAAGCCCCGGGCUCAACCUGGGAAUUGCAUUUGAAACUGGGGAACUAGAGUGUAUGAGAGGGGGGUAGAAUUCCAAGUGUAGCGGUGAAAUGCGUAGAGAUUUGGAGGAAUACCAGUGGCGAAGGCGGCCCCCUGGCACAACACUGACGCUCAGGUGCGAAAGCGUGGGGAGCAAACAGG
rnacentral:rRNA from 1 species